rfam:Schistosoma mansoni, Puerto Rico, WGS project CABG01000000 data, contig: 0080
AUCCAUCUGAAGUGUCUUAAAUAGAACAAAACAUAUGUCCUGGAU